GCGCUAUCAGAUGAGCCUGGGUCGGAUUAGCUAGUUGGUGAGGUAAUGGCUCACCAAGGCGACGAUCCGUAACUGGUCUGAGAGGAUGAUCAGUCACACUGGAACUGAGACACGGUCCAGACUCCUACGGGAGGCAGCAGUGGGGAAUAUUGGACAAUGGGCGAAAGCCUGAUCCAGCCAUGCCGCGUGUGUGAAGAAGGUCUUCGGAUUGUAAAGCACUUUAAGUUGGGAGGAAGGGCAUUAACCUAAUACGUUAGUGUUUUGACGUUACCGACAG
rnacentral:rRNA from 1 species